GACAGAGGGUGCAAGCGUUGCUCGGAAUCACUGGGCGUAAAGGGCGUGUAGGCGGGCAGGAAAGUCAGAUGUGAAAUCUCCAGGCUCAACCUGGGAACUGCAUUUGUGACUGCAUGGCUGGAGUGCGGCAGAGGGGGAUGGAAUUCCGCGUGUAGCAGUGAAAUGCGUAGAUAUGCGGAGGAACACCGAUGGCGAAGGCAGGUCUCUGGGCAUUAACUGACGCUGAGGAGCGAAAGCAUGGGGAGCGAACAGG
rnacentral:rRNA from 1 species